AUAAUGGAGAGAAUACUGUCAUCUCCUAAGAAGACACGGCUUCAUGGUGAUGUACUUCGGAUACUUUUCCUACAUAUGGACCCAAUAUUACCCCUCCCCAGACUUAAAAUGCUUUCAGUUCUAUAUCACGUGCUUGGGGCUAUACCCUCCUAUCAAGGGUCUGUUGGACCAGCAUUAAAUGAGUUGUGUCUUGGUUUGCAAUCUGAAGAAGUAGCACCUGUAUGUAGCAUUUUAAUUAUUAGCAAUGUAAUCAUAUUUUCUUGAUUCCCUUACAAGCCUAACUUUUCUUGACAUUUCUACCCUCAGGCUUUAUCUGGUGUUUAUGUGAAAGACCUUCAUGUUAGACUAGCUUGUUUAAAUGCUGCAAAAUGCAUUCCAGCUAUAUCCAGCCGUUCUGUUCCUCAAGAUGUAGAAAUUGCAACCAGCAUUUGGAUCGCCUUACAUGAUCCCGAAAAGUCGGUGGCUGAAGUGGCUGAGGAUUUAUGGGAUCGUUAUGACUGUGAAUUUGGGACCGAUUAUUCUGGACUCUUUAGAGCUGUUUCUCAUGUGAAUUAUAAUGUUCGUGUGGUUGCUUCUGAUGCAUUAGUUGCUGUAUUAGAUGAGUACCCAGAUACUUUACAGGAAUCUCUUGCGACUUUAUUCUCUCUUUAUAUCCGUGAUAGUGGUGUUGGUGA